rnacentral:rRNA from 1 species
GACGAACGCUGGCGGCGUGCUUAACACAUGCAAGUCGAACGGAAAGGCCCUGCUUUUGUGGGGUGCUCGAGUGGCGAACGGGUGAGUAACACGUGAGUAACCUGCCCUUGACUUUGGGAUAACUUCAGGAAACUGGGGCUAAUACCGGAUAGGAGCUCCUGCUGCAUGGUGGGGGUUGGAAAGUUUCGGCGGUUGGGGAUGGACUCGCGGCUUAUCAGCUUGUUGGUGGGGUAGUGGCUUACCAAGGCUUUGACGGGUAGCCGGCCUGAGAGGGUGACCGGCCACAUUGGGACUGAGAGACGGCCCAGACUCCUACGGGAGGCAGCAGUGGGGAAUAUUGCACAAUGGGCGGAAGCCUGAUGCAGCAACGCCGCGUGCGGGAUGACGGCCUUCGGGUUGUAAACCACUUUCGCCUGUGACGAAGCGUGAGUGACGGUAAUGGGUAAAGAAGCACCGGCUAACUACGUG